GACGAACGCUGGCGGCGUGCCUAAUACAUGCAAGUCGAGCGGAGUUAUUCCUUCGGGGAUAGCUUAGCGGCGGACGGGUGAGUAACACGUAGGUAACCUGCCUACAAGACUGGGAUAACAUUCGGAAACGAAUGCUAAUACCGGAUACGCGAAUUGGUCGCAUGAUCGAAUCGGGAAAGACGGAGCAAUCUGUCACUUGUAGAUGGACCUGCGGCGCAUUAGCUAGUUGGUGAGGUAACGGCUCACCAAGGCGACGAUGCGUAGCCGACCUGAGAGGGUGAUCGGCCACACUGGGACUGAGACACGGCCCAGACUCCUACGGGAGGCAGCAGUAGGGAAUCUUCCGCAAUGGACGAAAGUCUGACGGAGCAACGCCGCGUGAGUGAUGAAGGUUUUCGGAUCGUAAAGCUCUGUUGCCAGGGAAGAACGCUUGGGAGAGUAACUGCUCCCAAGGUGACGGUACCUGAGAAGAAAGCCCCGGCUAACUACGUGCCAGCCGCCGCCGUAAGAC
rnacentral:rRNA from 1 species